rnacentral:rRNA from 1 species
UACGUAGGGUGCAAGCGUUUAAUCGGAAUUACUGGGCGUAAAGCGCACGUAGGCGGAUAUUUAAGUCAGGGGUGAAAUCCCGGGGCUCAACCCCGGAACUGCCUUUGAUACUGGGUAUCUAGAGUCCAGAAGAGGUGAGUGGAAUUCCGAGUGUAGAGGUGAAAUUCGUAGAUAUUCGGAGGAACACCAGUGGCGAAGGCGGCUCACUGGUCUGGUACUGACGCUGAGGUGCGAAAGCGUGGGGAGCAAACAGG